UACAGAGGUCUCAAGCGUUGUUCGGAUUCAUUGGGCGUAAAGGGUGCGUAGGCGGCGCGGUAAGUCGGGUGUGAAAUCUCGGGGCUUAACUCCGAAACUGCAUUCGAUACUGCCGUGCUUGAGGACUGGAGAGGAGACUGGAAUUUACGGUGUAGCGGUGAAAUGCGCAGAUAUCGGGAGGAACACCGGUGGCGAAGGCGGUUCUCUGGGCCUGACCUGACGCUGAGGAGCGAAAGCCAGGGGAGCAAACGGG
rnacentral:rRNA from 1 species